GGGCAUAAAUAUCGAAAUCCGAAAAACCGGACCGAACCGAAUUAAUUCGGUUUUUCGGUGUUCGGGUUUUCGGAUUUUCGGUUCGGAUUCGGUUUCACUUUUUAAAAAAUUCGGGAUUCGGUUCGGUGUUCGGGAUUUAGUAUUCGGGUUUUCGGUUUAAACCGAAAUAUUAUGUCUUAGCCCAAAAUUAUUAAUAGUCCAAGCCCAUGCCCUAUUUAAUUUAAGCCCAAACGAAAAUAACCCAAGCCCACUUCAUUCUUUUCAUCUUUUGUAUCAAUCAGACAUAACGUAUCAAUGUAUCAAUCCCUAAUUUCACUUCUCAUUUCUCAAAGCUUCAGAGCUUGGUUCACUGCAACAAAAAAAAAAAAAAAAAGCUUCAGAGCUCAAAGUUUGCUCUUCCAAGCUCGGCGGCGGUGACUGCUCUUCCAAGCUCGGCAGCGACUUCUCUUUCAAGUUCCGACGGCGACAGAGUAAGUAUUUCUCUCUCUCACACUUCUCCUAAUCGACUUCAUCUGUUCUUUCACUAGUUGAUGUGAGCUUCUUGCUACUGUUUUGAUUGUUGUAACAUGAUAUGUGGUGGUUGUGAAUUUGUUGUAAUUAAAUGAGUAGUUGUUUGAGAUCUGAAAACUGAAUUGAAAACUGAAAACUACUGCUGCUGUUGUUAAAAAUGCUGACACCUUAUCUAAAUUAGUUAUGAUUCUUAUUGCUUUCAAAGAUAAGUAUGACCAUUUUCAGUUUAUUUAUUCAUGUUUUAGGAUUCAGUAUUGACAUAUAAUUUAAUUUAACAUAGCAACUACUUCUCCAGCUUCCGAAUUGGACCCCGCAUAGGAUUUUUUUUUCCAGUAAAUUAUAUUGCUUCAGUGUAUUACUUCCAUGUCAAACGUUCAUAGGCAUUAUUUACAAUCCAAUCUGGAAAAGCAUAAUUCCAAUAAACACUAGAUAAGAGGACAAUAGAGAAUUUAGCUAGAUCAUAGGUUAGCACAUUCCAUGUUCGAGAAAUAUGUACAAGCUUUAUAUAUCUGCUCACCAACUUUUAUGAAAAGAGUCGAUUUAAGAAAGAACUGAUUUGACCAAAGAGAAUCUGGAAGCUAGAUGCAUGAAAUCUAUAUAUCUUCCAAUCUCUUAUUUGUGUUCAAGAUUGGCUUAGGAAAGAGACUAAAUCUAUUAGUGUGGAAGAAAGUUUGGAUCAUCUUGAGGAACUUGAACUUGACAUGGCAAAUAGUGGAAGAGAUCCUUGCAUUGUUGAUGUAUGAUUGCAAUUUGCUUCUUUGUUACUAGUGUUCAACCAUGCCUUCUAGAGCUCGCUCACAAGUUUGGGAACAUUUUGUGCGGUGCGAUACUUAAUUGUAAUAGAGCAAAUGACACAUCUAGCUUAAUGAAGCAUAUUAAGAGAUGUCUUGACUCUUGAAGAUAGGCGGAUUCACCUUCAACUUUAAGCUUAUGUUUUGAAUUUUGGUAAAUUUCGGACUUAAUUAUGAUUGUUAUGUGAGACGACGGAUUUAACACUUGGUGUUACAACUUAUGUUUUGUAUUUGGAGCUAAAAUUUAGGACAUUUAUGUUGUUUGGCCGUUUGGCUGCUGCUCAUUUUAUCGUUAUGUUGUUUGUGUUGCUUGUUUUUGUCU